UGACCUCGGAUCAGGUAGGGAUACCCGCUGAACUUAAGCAUAUCAAUAAGCGGAGGAAA
rnacentral:rRNA from 1 species